rnacentral:rRNA from 1 species
AUUGAACGCUGGCGGCAGGCCUAACACAUGCAAGUCGAACGGUAACAGGAAGCAGCUUGCUGCUUUGCUGACGAGUGGCGGACGGGUGAGUAAUGUCUGGGCAACUGCCCGCUGGAGGGGGAUAACUACUGGAAACGGUAGCUAAUACCGCAUAACGUCGCAAGACCAAAGAGGGGGACCUUAGGGCCUCUUGCCAUCGGAUGUGCCCAGAUGGGAUUCGCUAGUAGGUGGGGUAACGGCUCACCUAGGCGACGAUCCCUAGCUGGUCUGAGAGGAUGACCAGCCACACUGGAACUGGGACACGGUCCAGACUCCUACGGGAGGCAGCAGUGGGGAAUAUUGCACAAUGGGGGCAAGCCUGAUGCAGCCAUGCCGCGUGUAUGAAGAAGGCCUUCGGGUUGUAAAGUACUUUCAGCGGGGAGGAAGGGAGUAAAGUUAAUACCUUUGCUCAUUGACGUUACCCGCAGAAGAAGCACCGGCUAACUACGUG